rnacentral:rRNA from 1 species
UAGCGUAGGGGGCAAGCGUUGUCCGGAAUCAUUGGGCGUAAAGAGCGUGUAGGCGGCUCGAUAAGUCCGCUGUGAAAGUCCAGGGCUCAACCCUGGAAGGCCGGUGGAAACUGUCGGGCUAGAGUCCGGAAGAGGCGAGUGGAAUUCCCCGGUGUAGCGGUGAAAUGCGCAGAUAUCGGGAGGAACACCAGUAGCGAAGGCGGCUCGCUGGGCCGUAACUGACGCUGAGGAGCGAAAGCAUGGGGAGCGAACAGG